UACUUUCUCAAAAUCUGUGCGUAUAUACAUAUAUUGUUUACAAAAUUACAUUGUACAAAAACCAUAAUAGAGCGGCUAACAAAAUGAAAUCAGAGUUUCUAGCUCGGCUACAAAAAUGGCGCGAAGCAUGGCAUAUGAACAAAUCUCUGACUGGCCGCUCUUGGCUAGGUCAACUUCUAAUCAUGUACAUCAUUACCUGCAUCAUAAGUACCUAAUGAGCCAAUGGCUCAGCAAGUUGAAACUGAUAUAAUAGAAAUAUAUCACAUAACACAUUAUUCAUUCAAUAUGUACAAUAUCACAUAUAACUUCAUUUAUGAUCCUUUCUUUUGAAAUCCUUCUCUUUAUCGGGUACCCUUGAAGUGUGGUACUUGACUGAUAGCAAUAGACUUUGAUUUUCGGAACCUGUUCAUCAUAUUUGGCCAAUAGAUAAUACGGGGGUUUCUAUACCGGCCUUUCGACCUCAGGUAUUAGCCGUAUUUCAUUUCUUUAAUUGUGGGUUUUCCAUACUGGUCUUACGACCUCAGGUAUUUGCCACCAUGUGUUGGGUCCGCCGGUUCCUCCCGCGUCCCUUGCCUACUCGACCAUCAAUCAAGUACCAUACUCCCAUUUUCAAAACAUAUUCUUUCAUAUCACUAUGACUCAUCAAUCAUUCAAACAUCAUAGAGAACACAUAGCAAAAGUCACAUUAAAACACACAUAAUUAGGUUCUUAUGAUGAGCAAAUGAAAGCUUCAACUUACCUCAAGAUCAAUAUGAUGUAUGAAGUGAAAGGAUCAGUCUUAGAUAGGGUGUGCUAGAAGCCUUGAUUAGAGAUGAAUUCAAACUUCAAAACAUAGGAUUUUCAGCUAGAAAAGGUGCAGAACUUGUUCUAGCUCUACUUCUAUGAGUUCUUAGGGUUUGAUAUUCUCUUAUGUGAACAUGGAAGUGAAGAAAUAAGAAGAAAAGCUUAAGUGAAUAGGUCUGGUCGUUUUUGGAAGAAGACAAGUGAAAAUGAAGACCAAAACACAAAGUCUUCACUUAUCUACCCAUUCCCAACAAGGCCAAAUGGAGGAUGCUGAUUGGAGGGCUUAUAUUUGCUGGAUUCUUGUGGUUCCUCCACGUUUUUCUAGCUUGAGAUAAGAUAUGGGCUGAUGCUUACUCAUUAUAAUCAAGUGUAAACACUUUGAGAAUGGUCUU
rnacentral:lncRNA from 1 species